rnacentral:rRNA from 1 species
AACGAACGUUGGCGGCGUGGAUGAGGCAUGCAAGUCGAACGCGAAAGCCGCAAGGUGAGUAGAGUGGCGGACGGGCGAGUAACACGUAAUCAAGCUGCCUGCGAGACGGGGAUAACCUCGGGAAACCGAAGCUAAGACCCGAUGGUUUGCGAGGACCGCAUGGUCCAUGCAAUAAAUGGGCGGGAUCCUUCGGGAUCGCCUGCUCGCAGAGGUGAUUGCGGCCCAUCAGCUAGUUGGUAGGGUAACGGCCUACCAAGGCAACGACGGGUAGCCGGCCUUAGAGGGUGGUCGGCCGCACUGGGACUGAGACACUGCCCAGACUCCUACGGGAGGCUGCAGUCGAGAAUCUUCCGCAAUGGGCGAAAGCCUGACGGAGCGACGCCGCGUGGAGGACGAAGGCCUUCGGGUUGUAACUACCUGUCACGAGUUAAGAAGGGUAGUGCGGCGAACAGCCGUAUGCCUUGACGUAAGACUCGAGAGGAAGGCACUGGCUAACUCUGU